CGCACGGGUGAGUAACGCGUAUCCAACCUUCCGCUUACUCGGGGAUAGCCUUUCGAAAGAAAGAUUAAUACCCGAUUGUAUCUUAAGUACGCAUGAGAUUAAGAUUAAAGAUUUAUCGGUAAGCGAUGGGGAUGCGUUCCAUUAGGCAGUUGGCGGGGUAACGGCCCACCAAACCUACGAUGGAUAGGGGUUCUGAGAGGAAGGUCCCCCACAUUGGAACUGAGACACGGUCCAAUCUCC
rnacentral:rRNA from 1 species